UACAUCCCUGCAGUCUGGAGGUCACAGCGUGGGCACGGAAUCUCCAAAUCUGUCAAUGAAAUCAUGGGGUUUCACAAAUGACAGUGAUUAUUGCCGGAGCCAACACUGGAACUUCUUCUUGGCUGCUAACUUCAUCAAUGUUGGUAAGUCAGUACAGCUAAGACCAAAAAGAUAUAUAUCAAGAAGCAAUUGCUGUGGUGCUGUUUUUUUUUUUUUACUUUAUUCAUUACACAGUGAACUUUCUGUCCUUGCUUGGUAUAAUGACAUCUAGUUGCUCAAUGAGUUAUACACUCUGCUUUUAAUUCAGCUUGUGGUUAGCAUUAUUUAGUGUCAGUUUCAUACACAGAGGUAAAAGGAUUCAAAGGAGAACUGUUGUUUACACUGUUGUGGUUGAAACCUGAUUGAUCGUCAUAAUAUCUCAGUAUUCUGUGCCAUUUCUAAGAAAAGUCUACUGUCUAUUUGAAGCUUGAGCCUGUACAGACACCCACACUCAUAUUGUCUUCAAAACCUUUUAAUGUUUAUGACUCACAGAUAUUCGUAAUAACCCUAAUGAAGAUCUCUGGCUAAUGUCACAUUUAAUCUCAUAGAUGAUAACUAUACAAGCAGUUACAGAGGGCAGUUAUUGUUAAUGACUUUGUUGACAUUCUGUUACAAAUGCCUGUCAGACAAGGUAUCCUGGUUUUCAGACCUGCUGUAUAUGCAAAAAUGUGUUGCUGUGGUGUGUCAGACUAGAUGGAUUCAGAUUGCGUGUUCUUUACUUCUUUACGCCACACAAAUUCAUCCAUGCGGAGUUAAGAAAAUUAUUUUCUUUUGUAUACAUAGUAGGUUGUGGUAAAGGUGAUAACUGAUGACCCUCAAUCCCCUGACCACUCAAAACAAAAGAUUUUCCUAGUUAAUUAGUCGAAUUGUGUCUUUGCAGUAAUGAUAUUUUUUACAGACUAUUUACAGAAAUCUGGAACUUUCUGGCACUAGUUGUGGCAGCACUGCAGAGGCAAGGACUUGAAAGGUUGUGUGCUCAUGUACUCUCUUUGCAAACUUCAGUAAGAUUCUUUGAAGGUCAUUUUGUGUGAUGUUUGAUGACGAGUGCAGGGUAAAUUCCACUGUACUUACAUAAAAUGACAGAUUUUUAUGGAAUGUUCCAUAAAUAGGAUGUAACCUUGGGGAUUUGUGUGCCUCUGUGCUAGCAAUAUGUUAUUGCAAUUCAAAUACACAUUCAAGGCAGUGCCACAGACUACAUCCUGUAGUUUGAAUAGUAAUACUGAAGCAGUCUUUGCAGUAUUAUAGUACUUUGUAAAUUAAAGACUGAAAGAGAAAGAAUGCAGCACCAGAAAGUGUCUGAGAAUAACAGCUAGUUAGGUGUAUCAAUCAUAAUUUGUAUUCAUGCAGCAAUUUCAAGCUUGUGGAUGUAAGAAUUUCACUCUCUUGUUAAAAAAAAUAUUAUUGCAAGCUACUUGUGGAACAAAAAUCAUGAGCUGUGCUGUGCUCUUCUCCAAUGUACAGAUUUAUCUCAUGGCUGCAAAUGCCAAAUCAAGACAAUCCCAACGUCAUAAUGCAGUAGUAUGCCUAAAUAGUAAUAACACCAAUGGUGAAUUGACAAACUGUAUAGUAUUUAUAGUUUGUCAGUACACCAUUGGUAUCAUUACCAAUGACACCAAUGGCAAACUGUAUACUAUGUUAGCAUACAAAUGAAAUAGUAUGUCAACAUGUAUGGGAUGCAGCCCAAGCAUUUAUGAGGAUAUAACUAAAUACAGAAGCAUAAUGAGAAAGCUGCUGUGUAGGCCAUAUGGGUCUGGCUUUCAGACAGUGUAUUAUUAUCAUCAACACUGCUUAUAAUUAUUAUUAUUAUGUGUGUUAUUAUCUAAUUUGCCUAUUUUGUUCUCCAACCUGUCAAAAAAUGUUAGCUAUGAGCUGGAUAGCGUUAGCACACCAGUCAAAAUACAGCGCAAUAAAUUACACACUGAGGGUCAGCACCCACCAAGUUUGAAAUAUAAAAAUACAAUGAAACACACACAUCCUGUUCUCCUGUAUCAUGGGUUCUCUAGAUUCUAGAUUCUACAGAGUUCUCAACUUCACAACUGGGUAAAAAUAUGAACACCACAAAACGGAUAAAUCGGUUGAGUAUCAUCUAUCAUUCACUAGCUUCCCUCUAUGUUAGAGAACAAAUACAUGCCUUAGCUGUUCAGCUGGAAAAAUAGAAAACUCCAUCCUGAAUCAGUCGUGAAUCAUCCUGAAACAUCUUUUUCCGCUGAAUGUAGUAUGUGAUAAUGGAUGACAUAUAUGUGAUGGUGUAUUAUUAGAACAACCUGAAAUUCAGACACAAACUUUGAACUCUGUGUUAUCAGGUAAUAAUAUUAUUAUUAUUUUUUAAUCUGUAUAGCACACUAGCUUAUUAUUUAUGUCUUACCUCCAAUCUUACAAACGGUUUUGGAUCAACAUCACUCCUCGCCUGAUUUCAUUCAGUGCAUCAUUUUCUGCACAAUGUGCAGCAUGAGUUACAAUGUUACAUGGCUUCAGUUCAGAAACAAGGCAAAUUAAACAUACUCUAAGCCAGUAUUUUUCAAAGGGGGACAUAUGUGGCUUUAGGGGUAGUUGGAGGUACUAUAAAGAGUACUUUUCAGAAAAGGAAAAUUGAUAAAAUUUGCAUUAGACAGAUAAUCAAGCCUGUUUGUGGUUGAGAAAAGCAGCUUCGCUAGCUAACCUAGACUAGGCAUGGGCAUUUAGCAAGCUAGCAUGUCUAUGCAUUUUUAAAACAGGCAUUUUCUAAUUCUACUGACAAUAUAUAAUAUUGAAUUUGGACUUAUUUUGAUAAUAAUAACCUCCAAUAAGGUUUUGGGGUUGGAACACUGGGAUGGAAACAAUAAAAUAUUGGUUCUGCUCAGAGUGAAUUGUUUCUGAGCCCUGAUUAAUCCACCGACUCAUUAUCUGUGUUUUUUUUCUGAUGUUUAUUUAAAAAAAUCAUAUUGCAGCUUUGACUUAAUAAAUGUUUUCAUUUUUUUUAAUAGAAGGCUUUGUGUUUACAGAAAUUUGGUGCGACAACUAUUUGUGCCUGCUGUAUCUGGAUCCUAAUAUUGUAAUAGAAAUUAUAAUGGAAUGCGCCAUAUCAAUAAUUUCUGGUCCUAUAUCUUCUGUGUGGGGAAAAAAACUACAUUCAUAAUGUGACAUUUUGGGCUGGCUUCAUGCUGCACAUUAGUACAUUCUAAUACGGUUUAUCACCACACAAAGAGAUCUUCUAAUCUCCCAUCUGCUGUGCUGGCGGCCUUUCCUGUUUGAUUUCAGAGCCAUAACUGAAUGACUUCAAACUUGCUUUAAUCCGACCCACAGCAUGCCCCAACAGCCCUUGAUCAGGCGUGGCUGAAAGACAAGCUGCGGCUUUGUCCAAAACUACAUCCUACAUGCUAUCGUCAUGUCAGCAGUGUCAUAAUUAUGAUUCAUCCACACCAAUGAACUUUCUUUUAUAAACACUGAGUAAGUGAUGUACUGUUAGGAAUUCAUUAUCAGUCUCUUAAAAGGAAGCAACAGCUACACAAAUACAAUGUAUUUGAUGUCUUAUCAUUUCCUAAGUGUACAACUAAAUGCAUACCAAGUCAUAGUUAUAAUUUCUGAUGCUUGUAAGGGGCAGAAAAUACAAUAUGCCCCUGUUAUGGGUUUAUUGUUAGUGUUUGAGUAAGUAGCAGAUUAUGGGCACAUAUGUCAUGACUUGAAUACUUGCUGCAUGAUGCUAUAUUCAUUCUGUGAAUUUUUGGAUUUACUAUUAAAGAUGUGGCACAAUUGUGGUAUCCUGUUUAGUACAGUAAUAAGUACCUUUGUUUCUGUGUUUGUGAAAAGCACAGGGCUCAUUUACCUGUACCUGCCAAGGGAAUAAUUACAGCCCAUCUGUUUGUUACACACUUGUAGAGACCCUGAGACAUUGCUGUUAGGAAACAGCCUGUGGCUGAAUCCCAAAUGGUUCCCUACUGGACCUAAAGUGCACUACACUGGAUAUUAAAGUAACAGAAGCUGCUUCAUCUCUGAAGUAAUGCAAUAAUAUGCUGAGUUGGGCACCACCUGGGAUUUGCUUACUUGAAAUUUUGGUGUGGGUGUGGUCAAGGUUGGGAAAAGGGCUAUGAUUGGGUUAAGGGAAGCCAUAUAAGGUUCAGAAAAUGGUAAACAGUUGUCUAGACAAUCCAUUUAGAGGCGUCUGUGUGCCGAGUUGCUAUCAACGAAGCAGUUCGCUGGGGAGUUAAUGUGCUUUGAGAAACUGUUUCACACCUUUUAGUGCAGCUUUGCCUCCAGUAGAAAGACUGUGAGUCUACACCUUAUCUGCUUUGUGAAUUAUACAGCCUGGGAAUAAAUAUACUAUUCUCUAACUGUGUAUCUAUAGAAACCUCAUUUCAAGCACAAUUUUAUCUGCUUGUUUAAAAAACUGUUUCUUAAAGUGGGGUCAAUGAAGCAUAUCUAGCAGUUCCAUGAUUUUGUUAAUGUAGUUACAGUGGUGGAAAUGACAGCCCACCUUUAUCAAUGCUAUUAUAUUUGUUAAAGAGUUAUAGUUAUGUUGCUUUUUGACUGGUUACUUGAAUUGAAUGGGGUUUAAUCCAAACCUCCUGUAAAUAAUGUCAACUUUGACCUAAUGUGUUCUGUUGGUGGAAAGCUCAGGAAUAGAAAGCUCUACAGAUCUAAUAAAUAGGCAAACUAGUAUUGUACACUUUUAAAUAAUGCUCCUGAAAUAAAUAUGUACUGUGGAAUUUAUUUUAUAGUUAAAGGGAUCCCUGGUUACAAAAAAAAUUGAGAAUCCCUGGUUUGAUGUGAUGAAGCUCAUCAGUUCCCAGUAGAGGGCAGAAUUUGUUUCGUUUCCUGCACAGUGCAGUUUUUCACCGUUAUGAUUACUAAACAAUGAUGAGAUUAAUAUCAUUCAUUAUAGAACAUAGGAAGAUAUGAUCACAGUUGAAUUGCUUCAGGCAUUAGUCUUGAGCAGAGUUACUCUCAAUAGCAGCCACUUAUUUGAAAAUGUUCACAUUGGAAGCUUGCUGAUUCUUUUCUCUUUCAUGCAUCCCAUUGAUAAUCCAUUGUGUGUGUGUGUGUGUGUGUGUGUGUGCGCUUGUGUGUUUUACAUCUUGGUGGCGACCAAAUUUUUAUUGGGACCUAACAGUUUUGACUUUAUGGGAACAUUUGGCUGGUCCCCACAAGGAAAACUGUCAAUGGAAGGUUUGUGUGUGUGAGUGUGUGUGUGUGUGUGUGUGUGUGUGUAGCAGAAUGUGCUGUGAGACUGUACAGAAUAUUACUCCUCCUCAAUUAGUACUGUAGCUUUCAGUAGGUCAUUAGAUAGGCACUAAUUUAGAAUAAAUUGUAAUAAAAGCCAGUUUUUAUUGACAUAUUUAUGCAUUUAUUGCACAUAUAGUCCGUUAGAUAAUCCAAAUAUUCCACAUAUACUUUCAAUGACACUCAUUAUACAGUAGUUAUUUUUUCUAAAUAGGGCAGCGAUCCUUACGUGAGGAAUCAAAGCUUUGAAGCUAUUAAAAUAUACACAGAUUUCACUUUUUUUAUUUUUAUUUUUUUAUUUUUUUACCUUUUUCUCCCCAAGACAAAAAGAGCAAAUGAAGAAUAAUUUGCAUGUCUUCCAGGGGGAUUUUGAAACCAUUAGACUACACCUCAUUCUUUCAUCUCCCUGCACAUCUGUUUGCUCCUGCUGCAAUACCCUUGCACUUUUUUCUUUAUUACUCUGGGAAACAAUGUGGAGCAUCUGCUUCUAGAAAUAUAAUAAAAAAAAUCUUUGACAGUUGUUCACGCCCAGGAGAAUUGAAACAAUCUCUGUUCUAAAAUAAUAUGUCUAAUUUUUCUCCUCAUCCAAAGUUAGCUGGCUUUAUGUCCCAGAGGCCUGGAUUUUUAUCCAAAUAAAGCUCCUGUGGUGCUGGACAUUCUUGUGUUAAUAACUUAUUUCACAAAGCUGUCAUGCCCUUGACCAUUCCUUCUCUCAUGUAAUAACUUACAUAGUCCCACUUAGGGGUACAACUAACUUUAUCCAGGGGCAAAAGAGAGGGAUUGGACAUCUCAAAAUUGGGACACAGCUAUUUCCAUCCAAGGUUUAAUACUAUAUUUUGCCCUUGCAUGUGUAGGAAGACUAUUUAUUUUAGCAUGAAGAAACAAAGAACAAGUAGGUAUAGCAAAAAUAGUCCACACGUCAUCACAUUUUUAUAAUUUUUCAAUAUGCCUGUGUAUUCUUUAAUUGCACUGUUAUUCCUCAGAUAUCAGAAGGAGACAAAGUGAACUAUAUUAUAAAUGAAAAGUCUCUGCUUCAAGCUGUUAUACUUGGGUCUGUGAGACAGAAGUGUGCUUUCUUCCUCAAAAAUAUUGAGUAUAGGAAUGUGGAAUGCUUUCUGAAGUAACUGGCUUUCAUGCUGUUGCACAUCAUUUCCAUCUCCACUGACACCAGCUAGAUGAAAUGUCUAUUAUAUUGUUUUUAGUGCUUAUAGCUAAUUUCUAAUUUGUUUCAAUCAAGAGCAGCACGAUCCAGUUCUGAAUGUUUAUGUACCGUUUAAUUUAGAGUCCACAAUCUGAAAAUGCUUUAUACAUUAAAAAAUAUUAGACUACAGUAUGAUAAAAACAUAUUAAUCAAUCAGUUUGCAUGCAUGUGUGUAGUGAAUUAAAUCUAAGUCUAUGAAAGGUACUACAAAUCAUAAAAUAAGAUAAAAGACAUAAUAAUUAUGAAUAGGCCUGAAUGAUAUGGAUUUACAUUUAUCAUUGCUGACAUUCUCUGUAUCAUUAUUCCACAGUUUUGAGGUGAAAUACUGGUAUUUCAGCAUAGUGGUAUUGGUUGAGUGUUACUGUAAUACGUGCUCUCCUCUGAAUCGUGAACAGUCCACAUAAUAAAACUUUCAGUCUCACUCUCUCCAUCCAUCACCUUGGGCUGCUACAAUAUUGAACCAAAUCUCUAGGCUUCGUUUGUUAGAAAUUCUGAAAAAGUCCAGCUAAAAGUAAUAAAACAAUGGGUUUUAAUAAUGAACAGCUGUGCCAAAUCGCAAAAUAAACAAUAGUAGUAAUAAUAAAACCAUAUGUCUUUAUUAUCAGUUGCCAGUUUCAGUUUUUGAUUCUAAUGAUAUUAAUCCAGAAGCCUUAGUGAACUGUCCGCUCUACACCACUUAUAGAGAGCAGAGCCUUCCCAAUAUUUACAUAAUCUUGACCAAAAAAAAACCAUAAUCCGGUAGAGAUGUUGGCUUAUUUAAGGGUUAGUGGUGUGUUGAGGCAAUAUCAUGAGUCAGAACAUCAUCUGAUAUAUGACUAUUGACUGGUUUAGAGCAUCUUAUAAAACAUCUACAGCAGCGCUCUAAAAAAAAAAGGAAAAUCAAUAUGAUGAUUUUUAAUAUGAAGAGCUAGAAAUGGAAUUGGCUUGCUCAUGCUUCAUACUUAAGCAUCAAUAUACAGUACAUUUCAGCAAAUUGUUUAAUCAGUUGCACCUAAAUAUGGUUUAGCAAGUACAACUUAGCAAGUACGACGUUCUCUUAGAAGCAUGGUUCAUUUUUUGGCUUUGUUAAUUGAUUUUUUUCUUCACAAUUCCCAGUGAUACAUAUGCUGAAAAAGCCCGACGUGUUAAGACUUACAAGAGAUUCCACAAUAAUGGGUGUGAAUAUAUUUCACUCUAUUGUGGACGCCUGUCUGUGUGUUCUGUUUUUCUUACUUGCACACUGAUGAGCGCUGGGAAACGGAAAGACCCAAAUCGUUAUGUCUUAUCAGUGAACGCAGAUGUUGCUGUAAAUAUGUCCUUGGUUAGUGUGCAGCUUGUGGUCUCAGCAGGCCUUAAUGUUGCAUUUAGGUUCCUAUCAGAGAGCCUGAUCAAUGUAAUGUGAGCAGUCAUGAGUGUAAAUUCACGGCCAUUUUGCUCUGAAACUGUAAGCGUCGACUGGUUAUUCGCCACAGAGGUGCUAGCGCACACUGAAUCCAAGAUGCUCUGCUCACAGUUAUUGGCUGUGAGCAUCCAAAUCCCCACUCAACACUGAACUAUGUUUUUAGUUGACUCAUAGAUGGGUUCUGUAAUGGGAUGCUAUUGACAGAUUUAUGAUGGAAUAUUCUCUCUAGGUGCUAAGGUAAAUUACUGAGACACACAUCGUAAGGAAUUUGCAAGUUGAGCAAAAAAACACAUAAAAGAUUCUUCUUACUCAUCUUUCUCACCUUAUUUUAGAUUUGGGUUAUGCUCACGGAGUAGGGGUUUUGCCAACUUUAAGGCUACAAAAAGCCUAUACAAUACAAUAAAGACAUACAAUAUGCUUUUAAAACAAACUUCUGAAAGCAAACUCACUUUUUAGCACCGGGCUCUAAAGAGUAGUAGCUUCUUAACCUGGUAAAAGAUUUACAAAAUUAAUCAAUAUGUGUGUUUACAUGGCUAUUGAGUUCUGCUAAUUGGGAGCAUGAAGUUGGAGUUUUAACUGUUAUAUUGGCUUUUAUACCACAGUAUUAUUGAACUCUCAAUUCUGAUUGGUCAGAAGGUGUUGAUUAAUUUUCUAUAAUAACAUUUUUUACAACAGUGUCUACAUUAUAGUUUCUAUAAUAACAACUCAUUCAUAUGGCUGUGUAUAGUAGCCAAGGGAGCAAGAAUUGACUGUGCUCUCUCUUAUACUCUUUCUUCCCUGUCAAUCAGAGCAACACUAGCCAAUCGAGCUCAUGUAUGAGGAAGAGGGCAGAUAGCACUUUCCUCUGAGCGUGUUACGCUGCCCUGUGAUGCAGCAUGAGCAGCAGUAUGAAGAAAAUUUUGAAGAAAGUUGGCUAGCUUCAAUGUCUCAGAAGAAGCACCUGUUAGCCUUCAGCCUAACACGAUAAUUAAUUAGAAAGAAUGCAUUAUACAAAUCUGUGAUUUGUCUUGCAGCCAAGCUGUUAUAGAAAAUUCAUUAAUAAACACCUUUUGACCAAUCAGAUUGAGAAUUCAGCAACACUGUGGUAUAAAAAAUAAAAUAAAAAUAAAAAUAAAAAAACAUAAACAAAUAAAAGCAAUCAAAGAACAAAUAAAUUGUCCAGAUUCAUAAAGCUGUCCAUUAAUUGUAUAUUAUUAAAAGCUAUUCUGAAUGAUAAUAUUUAUAGCCUGGAUUUUAAAAUCUUUGUAAUAUCUGAAUUUUGGCCAUUCACUGGUAGAUUGUUUGCGAAAAUUUUUAGGUGCUGAAAUCAAAUGCAGAUUUUCCUGUGUGAAUUUUUUAUCUUUAUUUUUUUACUUUUGACAUCUUUAACAGACUCAUGUCCAGAGAUCUUAAUCAAUAAGAAGGAUUAUAGAAUGUCACUACUUCGCUUAAAUAUAGACAUAUUAGGCCACUAAGCCUUUGUAUUGCUGUGUAUGUUAAAAAAAUGAUUUUACAGGAUUCUAUUGCUUUGCACUAGUCAGAGAGGUAAGAACACUAAUCACACAGCAGUCAGUCAUACUGUGAAUGAUGCAAUUUUACAAGGGCAGGAGGGCUAAUUAGCAAGAGACUGCAGUUUUUACACAGAUCUGAUCGCUGUAAUAAUCAAUGUUUCAUUUUACGUACUGUUGCUGUAGAAGAACAAGGCAUUUAACCCCCAACUGCUCUGCACAACUUAAUCUGUCGAUAAGAAAUUGAAUGUUAAUGUGCCCUGCGGGAAACUGGGAUAUACAAAAGAACUCAUUUGUUCAAUGUUAAAAGAGAAAAUUUUAUGACCAGCCCUUCAGGUGGCCCAUUUUGCAACAACAACAAAAAGAAUUGCUUAAAUAUGAGUGCAACACUUUUAAAACUUGAAACUCAGUUAUAUUGGGAGUCUAAGGGCAGUCGUUAAAAUUUGACUGAACAGCAAAGCCGCAGUUAUGGAUCUUGGAGCAAUGCAUCAUCCAAAGCAAUGGAGCAAUGGAGCAGUACAGUACUCUUUCCUGGAGGUUUUUUGGUAUCUGUGUGCAAUCAGGACAAAACCAAGGCACUUCUCUGUUUACAUGUGUAUGCAUAAUUAAUUAUUUGACUGAAGAAUUAAUGAAAGUGUUUUAAAAAAAAAAGUUUUGUAUAUUGAUACGUUUAGACAAUACAAGCCAGUAUUCAUUCAAUUGAUUAUUUCUUCUUUUCUCAGAAUGAAGAAAUGUGCUGAAAUUCUUCUCACAGUAAUUACACACACAGUAUAGAAUCCAGACCUCACGAUAAGGACUUCCUCGGUUUAAGCAUUAAUAAUUUGUUUGAAAAGCUGCUAUAGAGGGACACUUUAAGAAUUUGUCCUUCUAGUGGGCUGCAUGCCGCAUUUGACUAAAACUCGUAACUUGGAAUUACCGAAUUUGGAAAAAACAAACAAACAAAAUGCCUUUGCAACUUGGAUUUCCUACUCGGACACUCAGGAUGGUCUCCUCAUCCCCGAGUUCAGCAAGUGAUGGCAUAUCAAACAUGACUGCUCACUGCAUCAACAGGAAACAAAGUAGCACUUCUUAUCUUUAAAAGCGUUAUGCAGGUACAAGUAUUUGCUUUAGAUCAAUCAAGAUACAGACAUAUUAGCUUGUUAAAUCUAUGACACUGACUAUACAGUUCACUCUUUUGUGGAGGUAAUUCUGGGCUCUAACUUUCCGCUUCUGAGGUCAGUCGAAUACAGCGAAAGUUCUUGAUUAGACAAAAGAGUAGAUCUGUUCUUCACAUAUAUUUUAAUAGUUUAUGAUAAUGUAAUGGUAAUAAAAUGCAUUUCAAGACAGGGACAAUGAAAGGACCUACAUUUUUUUAAAAAAAAAUAGGAAGCUAUGUGAAUUAUGAUCACACUUAUGCUAUGCUACAUCAAUAUUUGUUCUCUCUUGCACACCUCCUGGUGGAGUGGCAGCCCAUGAAGGAAUAAGCUCCAGGGAUAGACAUCAUAUUUUUUAUAUGAUGCAGAGCAGUGAAGCAGUGUUUAAUUUAGGCAUUCUUCUGUCCUUCUAAACCACUCACUAACUCACUUCAAACAACACAGAGGCUUAAGGCGGACACCGAAUCGCUCAUUUGUCACAGAAAGUGGAACUAGUGCAAAAAGUGAGGUCUAGAAUGAAUUUGUUUUGAACAAAUUUGAUAGACAUGGUGUGGCACUGUAAAGGAUUAUCAGCAAGUAAAACUCAUGUUAUGUAGAAAUAAAAUCUUGUGCCAGUACAUUUGGAGAGAUUUUGUUGUCGUUCAGCUAAUAACCGCAACACCUAUUAAAUAGCUUUUACAAUUAAUCAAGUGAGUCAGGCUCAUAUUGGAUCUGCAUUGCAUAUAAGCUCUGAUAUUGGUGUUGUGAAAUGACAAACUGCAUAGUGUACGUCUAGGAAUAAGUUAGAUAAAAUCUUAUAAAUUCCUGUUCUCUUUUCUAUUAUACUCUCUGAUUAAGGCUGUAAUUACCACAUUUAUAUUUCACUGUCUUUAAUAAAGCCAUCCAUACAGUUACAUAUUUAAACCCUUUAAACAUAUUAUAUUCCAUAUUCCACAUACUAUGUGCACAUCAUUAUCUGUGAGCGUCUUCUAAUAGUCUAACUGGAGUAGUUAUAUUACAUGCAUGUGAUGUGAGUUCUGGUCUCAUUUUUAUAACAGCAGGUUAUUGUAGCUCUUGGAAAUGUGAUUGGAAAGCGUGCUGACUCAGCACACCUAAGUGAGCUUUUCUGGACAGGAGUAAUGACAGCUUAUAUUACUUCUCCCAAGAGACAGUGAUUUAGCUCCAUUUGAGUUUGUUCCCUCCAUUAUUGUUAAUGCUUCUCUCUACUUUUUGCUGACAGAAAAAGGCUUUUUCCAAUAUUAGAUAAAUCACUUUACUGAUUACGUACUGAAAAGACCUAUCAGCAGCACAACAUGGUGAUUAUGAGGCUACAGGACUGACAAGUGAGACAUAUGCAAUAUUUUUAGUUUGUAAUUAUAAUCUAAUUUUUUUUGCAUUGUGGUGAGGACCCUUGGUGGCUUGGAUCCCCUAAGUGACUGUUUAUAACACUAAUCAAUAGAAACAGCCCUGGAUAUACAUAUUAAAGCCUUAAUGUCACACCCGCUCCAUCCCCUGGGAAUUCCAGUUCCCUGAACCUCUCCAGCCACACCCACUUCUGCGAUCUCCUCCACAUUACUAAUCAUUCUAACCUGUAGUCCGUUCCUUCAAUAAGUCUUGUUUCGUUUCUACAUUCAUUGUCAUUUCUCUGUUGCUUUUGUUUUAUCUCUGCAUUUAUUCUCUUGUUUUGCAGUUUUGCUUAUACACUGUAUUGACUCUAUGGGUUUUAUCUUUUUGCUUCCUUUAUGAUUACUUUUUUCCCCGCUGUUUUGGAUUGUCUGCACUUGUUUCAGUAAGCUGUUUACUCAAUUUUUUCCUACAUUUGUUGCCAGUAACUUUGUCGCAGUCUGACACUUAAAAGUGAUGCUUAAAGACUUGCGCUAUUUUUGCAAAUAUUUUUAAUGGUAUUUUUUUAAGACAUGUGACAUGUUUCCUAAUUGUAACUGACUUAUCUUAGUAUAAUUCACUUUUGAUUCAAAAGGUUGUAUUAGAAAACUAACAGGUCACCAUCUGAAUCAUGUACUGUGAUAUACAGUAGCCAGUGAAUAUAUUGCACAUAAUAAGUGCUCUUAUCAUAUAUGUACAUAUUAUUAUGCAAAUGAUCAACUUCAAUAGACAUCAUAGACCUUAUAUGUAUGAAUAUUUAAUGUCCAGGGACACCACGCAUAUGCUCUGCUUUGCAUUUGUCAGGAGAACUAUAAGUGGCAAUUGCCCUGGACAUUUAAUGAGCCAGGGCAAAUACGAGCCAGGCAUUGCCUGCGACUACAAAACAGCCUGAAUUGCUCUAUCUAGGCCAUCAGGGUACACAUUGUUGUUGGCUGAACUGAAUUCGAAGCGCACUUUCUUUUCCUUGGUCCAGCCCAGCAUACCUGCAUUGUUCUGCCAUAAUAGGGACGGCUGGCUUUUGUAGUUCGCCGGGGUCAGAGUGAUUGGAGGAAAGGAGGCAACGCAGACAAGGUGCCUUUUGAAGUGCUGCUAAGCUGGCCACAGGAGAACAGCAAGGUCUCUCUGUCAUUAAACCCCAAACACAAAGUGCAGACAGUGAUGAAGUAGAUCUAGCAGAGCCAUUACCAUAGUGCCAGACACCACUUCGGCACAAAUGUAGUGUCUCUUUUUUACACAUUAUUGCUUUUUAAUAAUUCAUAUUCGCUAAUGCUGUACCAUGGAAACAGAAGAAUCUUUUAAAUCAUUCAGAUGUGUAAAUUGAUUGUAAAAACAUGCUUUUAAAAGUGACUAAAAGUAAUUCCUGACUGUAGAUAAUAUGCUUACAGGAUUAUGUAGGUGAUUCCACAAUUAUGGCGCCAUUUAGUGCUUGGCACACUUAAAAAUGUAACAUUAUUUUUUAAAAAUAAUUUUUCAACACUGAAUCUGAGAUAAAACAUUCAUUCAACCAUUAAAAAUGUAUUAACCCAUCGCAGGCAGCAAACUCAUUUUUAACAAGCAUUUUGCUCUUAAAUGAGUAAUAAGGUUGAGGUUUUAUUUAUUUAUUUAUUUUUGCAUAGAUUUAGCAAAUACCCAAAAAGUGCUUAACGAACACCCAACAUGUGAUUAAUAGCAUGAGAUACUAAUGAUUUAAAAUUAGUUUUAUUAAAUUAAUAAUUUCCAUUUAGAAUUUGGGUAACAGGGAUGUACUUUCAAACUGACUUCAUCAGUCAAGAUCACAAUAUCAUCGAAAAUAAAGAAAACAGAAUGAGAGAAAUUAAUUUUCUUCUUCCCAUGAUCUUUAGAAAAUAUGGAUGAUGCAACUCACUUGUGGAAUAUUUCAAAGGGGUGAACGUGUUCAGGUAACAGGAUUGAAUGAAUGCUGUAGGGCUAAAAUAUACUUUUUUCAUAACCUAUAAUUCACAUAUUAAUGCAAAAAUAACAAUUCUGAAGUAUUUUAAUGCAUAAAUCUCACUGUAAAUAGUUAUAUAGUGGGCUGGAAUGGGCAAAAUACUGUUUUUUAAGUGCUGUAGAUUGGUUUAAUUAAUUUUUUAAGUCAAGUUUAAUGAAACAUGCACAGGUUGAUGUGAAGGAUUUUACAUGUGUUUAAACUGACUAUUUAACGCUUGAGAUUUUAAAAUUUAAAAUUCAGGCAUUUCUGUUAUUAUCAAUGUGCAAGGUCAUGUGCAAGAUUCAUUACCUUCAAGGAUAUAAAUGUCUCAUUCAUUCAUUCAUUCAUUCAUUCAUUUAGUCAGUCAGUCAUCCAUUUCUUAUUUCAAUCACUUCCUCCACUGAAUCAUUCCUUCUUUCCAACACUGUGAAUAAAACACCAACACAGCUGUGCUGCACAGAUUACACUGAGCCAACCUCGGCCAGCUCUGCAUUUAUAUGAAGGAUGAAUAAAUGAUUUCCCCCAGUGUGCUGACUUACAGAGAUCAAGGCUAAUCAAGGCUAAUUUGUGCAAAUGCAUGAAUACAACAACGAAAAUAAACCAGCCAGUACUGCCUCUAGCCUACAUAUUCAUGCUAGAUGCCUGGCGUCCGUAUCCGGGUGCAGACGCAUGUGACUCGUAACCAAGUGAAAAUUUCUGCAGAUUUGCCCAAUACUGACCUCCUUGUGCUGAAUUCUAAAAGAGGCUUGAGAUCAGUCUUGGAGACAGGAGAUAAGGAGUAAGAAGAGCUGAGAUAGCUGUGCUCACAUGCAUUAGAAUUAAUGAGAAGACACGAGGAGUGUGAAAAUAUACCAGCCAUGAUACAUUGCAAUGGCAGUAAUUAGUAAUUUGCAAAAUAAAUAAAUAAGUAAAUAAAAAUAAUGCAUGUAUCACUUUUAUUGAAAUAUGAUACAACAUGAAGAUAUUUACGGAACAUACAAUUUAUUCAUUUUGCUGCUGAACUUGAAGAAUAUAAAAUGGCUGCCUUUUCUCAUCCUUUUAAUUCUAUAAUGUUAGACCGCCUUAAAAUAGUUCCUUAAGGUUUACAUUUCAGGAAGCUAUCUGGGCUAAAAUGGUUGUUUAAUGGUUAUUUAAUAUAUAGUUUAUAUAAACCACAAUGCUGUUUGGUCAGAAGGUGUUGAUUAAUUUUCUUUAACAGCAGCUCUGACAAUAGUUCCUGCUGCAAGGUUUAUAUUAAUGCACUGGUUCUAACAGGUUAUCGUUUCUAUAGUAACCUACAGUACAGGGACUUAUAUGAUGGAUGGUCCACGUGAUACAACUCUAAUAAUAAACUGAUUAAAAAUGUGUCGUUUGUUAUGUAACAAAUAAAAAUGUGCAAUCUGGUGAAAUGAUGAACUUUCUGUAAGGAGAUAUUUAUUUCACAUGUAUGGAAGGAGUCUCCAGUGUCUUUCCACCAUUGGAAAGUCUUCAGUCUUACGUCUUGUGGUUUCUCUGUAACAUGACAAACUGAGUUUUUUUUUGUCUUAUUAACUUAAAGAGAAAGAAAAAAGAGCGGCAGGUGAAGAAAGACUUUAUGGAUGAUCUUCCACAACAUUAAAUAUACCUUUAAAUGGGGAAAAUUUACAGCGUAGUGUUCAUUAAUAAACGUAAAAAAAAAAGUUGUUGGCAAGUUACUGUAGUAUAACAGGAAUAAAACUCCUCAGGACAUGCUGUUAUAAAUAAUCAUCAUCUGGCGUCAGGACACAUCACUCCCUCUCCUCAUUCAUUAGUUUCCACAGCAUGCCCUGAGGAGUUUUAUUCCUUACAUAUACCUAUUGUUAAUUUUGCAAGUUUUAAAAAAAGGGUUCUUCAAGGCUUCUUUGGAUAUGAAACAUUAUUUUGCUUCAUAUUUGAAUCCUUCCUGGAUGCAAACAACUUGUGUGGAUGUACAAAGAAGGUUCCCCCCAAAAAGGACAAACUAAAAAACUAGAUCAGUUCAGACCUUUUAUUUUAUUUUCUUUUUUUUUUUUAAAAAAAAAAGAGUGGAUCUGCAGUGUCUGCGGGCUGCAGUAGAACAGGGUGCAGGAGCCGUGCUGUGAAAAUCGCACCUUCCAUUCCAUUAGAGCAGAGGCACCGACCCACUGAGAAACAGCGGGUUCAAUUGGUGUCAUUUCACAUUGAUGUUCGUCCGUGUGGUGCAGGGUGAAACUGUGUGGAAGAAAAGUCAAAAAGUACACAAGUGGAUGACCUUCCAAAAAUAUCAUAAAGUGUCAUAACAUCAUUGUUUUAGUUUUCGUCCUCAGCCAAUAUUACAAUAAUGUUCUUUUUUAAAAUGAAGCAAACAACAUAGAAAUGUUAUUCCCCCCUCAAGGGCAAGACGUUUCUCAUAAAAAUCACACAGCAACACAAUAUUCCACAAUACAUAAAACCUGAGAUUAACCAAGUCAGUAUGUAAAUAGUUGACAGUGGAUACACUGGGAAGAUCUGAUUACACCAAAUGAAAGAAGGAACAAAAGAAUAUUUUCUCUAAAUGUCUUAAGAGCUGUUAAAAAAAAAUCUCUUCUCUCUGUCUCAUCUGUCCUCUCCUACCAUUUCUGCCUCGUUCACAGCUUUUUUCUGCAGAUUUCCAAACACCAAACACUCGACAACAGCGUAAAAAAAUGCCCGCUCUGUUCUCAAGGGUCACCUGGUGCAUUCUGCAGCGAGAGGAUGCAGGAUCUCCAGCUCGGUUUCUGCGGUCGCUAUGGAAAUAAGGCUGGGGUUCUAGUGUUGCGUGGCAAGCAGUUUGGCCUGGAAACGUUUGUGAACUUCAGCAGCAGCAGCAGCAGCAUAGAGUUUUGCGCUGGGGAGAGACACUGAUGUAGAUGCAUCCAAAAACGAAAAAAGCUAUGGGUCAUGUAAUUGUAGUGCAGUCAUGAUUAGGAGGAAGAGAAUGAUUGCACAGAAAGGAAAAACACCUGCACGUGUGGGUGAGGGGAGAGAGGGAUCUGGAUAGAUAAAUAGAGUGAGGGAGAGAGAGAGAGAGAUAGAGAGAGGAGGAGGGCAAAAUGUCUGUUUACUUCAUUUUCUCACAAAGACUAUUAGCUAAUAAAGGCAAACUCCCCUGCAUCCGUCCUCCACCUCUCUUUCUCUCUUCCCUCAUUUUCUUUCAUUUUUCUUCUCUUUUCCACUCUCACUUUGCUUUUCUUUUCAAUUUUUUCCCAGCUUUUGCACAAUUUUUUUUUUACCUUUAUUCUUACUUUGUAUUUUUCUCUCUUUUGAUACUUCUGAAUAUCUCAGUUAUUCUGCAUAGCUGUUAGUCACACCUGAUCUCUCUCUCUCUCUCUCUGUACACAGACACACACACACCCACACACACAUACACACAGACACACGUGCGCACUCACUAUCGUUCACCCCUUCCCCCUUCACAGCCGCACUACCAUCACUUGGUUUCAGCCGCAGAAGAGCAGAGAGGUGUCUUUCACACACACACACACACUCACAGAUGCAUGCACACACUCUCACUCUCCCCGUGACCAACUUACAGAAGACACAGGAGCAUGGAGCUGGGAGCACUGCCAGAGAAACACAUGGAGAAAUGCAUGAGCUUGAUGCAGACAGGGACUCAGAUGGUGAAACUGAGAGGUGGUUCAAAGGGCCUGGUGCGGUACUUUUACGUGGACGAGCACAAGUCCUGCAUCCGCUGGAGGCCCUCCAGGAAGAACGAGAGGGCAAAAAUCUCCAUCGACUUGAUUCGGGAGGUGUGUGAGGGGAAGCAGUCUGAGAUCUUCCAGCGCUAUGCAGAUGGCAGCUUCGACCCCAACUGCUGCUUCAGCAUCUACUACGGUGAACAUAUGGAGUCGCUGGACUUGGUAUCAGGUACAGGCGAGGAGGCGCGCACCUGGAUUACUGGUCUUAAGUACCUUAUGGCGGGCAUCAGCGAUGAGGACAGUCUGGCCAAACGCCAACGCACCCGGGACCAGUGGCUGAAGCAGACUUUCACAGAAGCUGACAAGAACGGAGACGGCAGCCUGAGCAUCAGUGAGGUUCUCCAGCUCCUGCAUAAACUCAAUGUCAACUUACCCAGGCAGAAAGUAAAGCAGAUGUUCAAGGAAGCAGACACAGAUGAUAACCAGGGCACUUUGGGCUUUGAGGAGUUCUGCUCCUUUUACAAGAUGAUGUCGACUCGGCGAGACCUAUACCUGCUGAUGCUCACCUACAGCAACCAUAAAGACCACCUGGACACAGACGACCUGACACGCUUCCUUGAAAUUGAGCAAAAGAUGACAAGAGUCACAAAAGAGCAUUGCCUUGAAAUCGUCGCAAAGUUUGAACCUUGUCCUGAAAACCAGAAGCAGGGGGUUCUGGGUAUCGAUGGAUUUACGAAUUACAUGCGAAGUCCAGCUGGAGACAUCUUUAAACCCGAACACCAUGAAGUCAACCAGGACAUGACUCAGCCUCUGUGCAAGUACUUCAUCGCCUCCUCACAUAACACCUACCUGAUGGGGGACCAGCUGAUGUCUCAGUCCAGGGUGGACAUGUACGCAUGGGUCCUGCAAGCAGGCUGCAGAUGUGUGGAAGUGGACUGUUGGGAUGGACAAGAUGGAGAGCCAAUCGUACACCAUGGCUAUACUCUAACAUCCAAAAUCCUUUUUAAGGACGUCAUUGAAACCAUCAACAAAUAUGCAUUUGUCAAGAACCCGUAUCCAGUUAUCUUGUCCAUAGAGAACCACUGCAGUGUUCCCCAGCAGAAGAAGAUGGCUCAGUAUCUGGUGGAAAUCUUGGGGGAGAAGUUGGACUUGUCAUCAAUCAAAGCUGACGAGUCAGGACUCCUGCCCUCACCUGAUUCCCUCAAAGGCAAAAUUCUUGUCAAGGGCAAGAAACUGCCCCCAAACAUUGACGAGAAUGCAGAGGAGGGUGACGUGUCAGAUGAGGACAGCGCUGACGAGAUGGAAGACGACUGCAAGCUGAUGAAUGGAGAUACUUCUGUGAACAGAAAGCAGGUGGAGAACGUUGCAAAGAAAAAGCUGGAUAGCCUGAUGAAGGAGUCGAAGAUCCGUGACCGCGAGGACCCUGACAGCUUCACGAUAGCAGCGCUGCCUCCCUCAGCAAAGCGGGAUGAAAAGACAGCCAUGAAGGGGAAGGGAGACGAGACGACAGACACAGGAGACGAGUCCAGCCCCAGCACUAAUAAACGUCUGGCCAGGUCUUUCAUGGGCAGCUUCUCCAGACGUAAGAAGAAGACAAGCAAACUCAAAAAGACGUCCAGUUUUGAGGACACAGACACGGACCAGGAGAGCUCCAGCAGUGCGUCGAAAGUCCCAGUACAUCACAGCAGAAGGAAGAAAACGAUGAAGUUGUCCAGGGCUCUGUCUGAUUUGGUGAAAUACACAAAGUCUGUGGCCAUGCAGGAUCUUGAGACACAAGGAAGCAGCAGCUGGCUGGUAUCAUCACUAAGCGAGACCAAGGCUCACCAGCUGAUACAGCAGAAGCCAGCCCAGUUUGUGCGCUUUAACCAGCGGCAACUGUCACGAAUUUAUCCCUCAUCCUACCGUGUGGACUCAAGCAACUUCAACCCGCAGCCAUUCUGGAACAUCGGAUGCCACCUGGUGGCACUGAACUACCAGUCUGAGGGCCGAGUCCUUCAGUUGAACAGGGCCAAGUUCUACAGCAAUGGCAACUGUGGCUACGUUCUCAAACCCGAUUGCAUGUGUGAAGCUUCUUUUAAUCCAAUGUUGGAGGACCCAUUGCCAGGACAAAUGAGAAAACAGCUGGUGGUGAAGAUUAUUAGCGGCCAGCAGCUGCCCAAACCCAAAGACUCCAUGCUGGGAGACCGAGGCGAGAUCAUUGACCCUUUUGUGGAAGUGGAGAUCAUUGGCUUGCCAAUAGAUUGCUGUAAGGAGCAAACCAGAGUAGUGGAUGACAAUGGGUUCAACCCCAUGUGGGAGGAGACCCUGGUUUUCACUGUGCACAUGCCAGAAAUCGCACUGGUGCGCUUCCUGGUUUGGGAUCACGACCCCAUUGGCCAGGACUUCAUUGGCCAGAGGACCAUUGCCUUUAAUAGCAUGAUGCCAGGUUACCGCCAUGUGUAUUUAGAAGGGAUGGAGGAGGCGUCCAUUUUUGUUCAUGUGGCUGUGAAUGACAUCACUGGUAAGGCACGGCCAGCCAGCGGCAUAAAAGGGCUGUUUCACAGAAAUCCAAAGCAGGCUUCUCUGGACAGCCAUGCUGCUGCGCUGCACAGCCGUAAGCCCGCUUUUGGAGCCCAUCUGCUUCGCCGCACGGCCAGCGCGCCCACCAAGGGCCAGCCCAAAGUUAAACGUGGCUUCCCUGAGAUCUCCAUUGACACCAAAGACUGUAGCUCAGAGGGAGCCAGCUCAGAGCGUGAGUCUGAGGAGGGCCCAGUUGCCCAUCCCAACGGGGACACGGCAGCAUCAGCGCGACCGUGGGAGCACGGCACCAACGGGCAGCUCCACCCGGAUGAUGGUACAGAUCAUUCCACAGUGCAGAGACCCAUUCCUUAUCUGCAUGUCCUGGAAUCCAUUGCAGAAGAAUAUCAGCAGAAAUCCUCUUCGACAUCCAUGUGCAGUCCAACCCAUACCUCAGAACAUCCCCCCAGUCAUGUGCUUUGUUUGUCUCCACCAUCCACAGCAAUAACGACUUGUAAGAAAGACAACCAUAGCCCUGUAAAAACAAAUGAGGACAAACUACCUGUUCCUACUCAUUGUCCCAUCCCAAAUGACAGUAGUGGGGGGGAUCAUUUCAAUACUUCUCUGUCCAUGAAUUACCUUGACAUUGGGAGCAAUAAGCCCCUUUCACCAGAGCAGGCAGUAGGUGAAGAGAUGAGUUUUCGUGGAAAUGUUUUACCGGAUGCAAAUGUUAAGAUUGGACAAACUUUAGAGACAGAGACUGCACCUGAGCUGACCACAAUUAAGAGCUCCCAGAAGGUUCAGGCUAAAAAAACUUUAAUUGACAAGGACAUAGAGCGAGGUUUGUAUCCUGGGCCUAGGACUCCAGUUCGAAGGACUAAAAGUGAUGGCCAGGUGCAGGCAGUAUGUCCUGUUGAUGAGCAGUCAGCAGUGCCUCAGGUGUCCAUCGAUGCAACCAUCAAUGACCGCCUCUGGUCCAAGCUUGACCCAAGCACCCACCGUGACAGCGUGUCAUCCUCGUCCAGCAUUUCCUCAAAUGACACUGUGAUUGACCUCUCCCUGCCCAACUUGGCCAGGAAGAGUCUGACCUGCCUCCGAACUGCUCGGGACUGUCAUGAUAGCCAGGAUUCAAUGGCCACCUGGAGUUGCGCAUCUCGGUCAUCAACUACUUCUAGCACACUUUGUGUGAGCAAGAGCAAAUCCAAUCCCAACUUGCGGGAUGGUCAGAUAUGUGAGCCAAUGGACGAGCUUCUUCCAAGGCAGCUGGGGAGUGAGCAUGACAACAAACGGCUUAUGCAGCGGCGUCACACCUGGAGCAGGCUGUACAUAGAGGGCUUAAAGCAGUCAUCAUCUGCUUCUAGUAAGAGAGCCCCAACUCCUACACCAAAAGACAUAAACGGUGGCUCCAAGUCUAAGAGUCUGGGUGACCUCACAUCAGAGGACAUUGUGUGCAAUUUUGAUAGCAAAUAUCGCAGCAUCAGCCGUAGUUUUGUGGUCAGGCCUAGCCGCCAGCAGAGGUCCCCAAAGAAGUCCCAGGAUGACCUGAUGGAGCGGCUAAAGAAACUCACUGAUGUAGAACCACUGGCGAGCAGUGAUUUUACAUCCCACCUGCAUGACUCAGAGGCUGAGGAGAAGGAGGAGCAGGAGGAGGCACCACCACUGAGGAGGAGCUCAUCACGCAGCCAGAGCCGGGUGCGCUAUAUUGCCAACCGCGCUAGGCAGGCCCAGGAGAGGCAGCGGCUGCAAAGCCUCCUCAGGGGAUCCAACAGCCCCAUUGAGGAGCGUGGAAUCCCAGAGGGUGCCUGCAGCAUCACACGCAGCCCCUGUGCCAGCCUGGACUUGCUGAGCCAGCUUCCUCCGGGACCACCCCAGCAGAGCCCUCGUAGCCCAGAUAGUGAGCUCUUUUUUAUGCUCCGCCUCUGAUGGAGCAAGGGUGUACUGAAGGUCUGCAUGCAAGCAGCACACACCACGUUUCUGUUAGUUCAACUACUGAAUGAGACACUACUAACAUCUGAUAUGAAGUCUGUUUCCUGCACUACUGUUGGUGUAGGUGGAUGAUUUGUUACCAAACAAACCCAACAAAGAGCAUGAAAUGUGGUAGAUUCUAAAGGUUCUACACCUAUAGAGAUGGAUACUACAGUUUUUAUAAUAUGUGUAUUGUAAUAGAAAAUUUCCAAUUUCCACACUAAAAAUCUUGUCAGUUUAUUGUCCUAAAUGCACUCAUUACUUUUAAACACUGGAAUGUCAUACACAAGUCAAACAUUCUCAAACUGAUAUCGGUCUUGAAUUUUGUUAUUUUUAGUUAAACGGCCUGCUGUAGCAAUAGAGGAUUACAUGUUGAACUGUAUGAAAUAUUACUUCUCUCACUUUAAAUUGAAUGAUAUGUUUACUGUACUUAUUGAAUUACCAAUGCAUCUUGUUGGUGUUUAUAGUGGUGAAUUUUUUUUUUUACAACAAAUGCAUGGAACGUAUUUGCAGAAGUAAUUUAUUGUUUCUCAGAAUAAAGAAUAACAGAAAUGUUUUUUUUCUUUUGUGCUCCUUGUUCAAAUUCUUUGCAUUAGGCAAAACAAUAACUGCCUUUCUCCAUACUUUUAGCUUUUUUUAAAUUAUUAUAAAUUUUUUAGUUUAUAUGACACAGGGCAAUUUUUGCCAUUUGGUUUAAUCUUUUGAUAUUUCAGUUUAUGUACUGUAUAAAGUAUUAUCAGAAGAUUCAUACAGAAGUAGGCUCUUUUUUGCAUGUCAGUGAUAUAUUGUAAUCUUUUUUAUAAUCAUUUAAGGUUUUACAAGGUUUUCCGCCACUCAGCAUGUGCACUGGUCCAUAAUACCUAUCAGUCAGUGUUUAAGAAUUAAGGAAUUAUGUUGAAUAUGAGUACACUGAUACAGUUGUUCAGUGGCACAUAAUAGGAUGAUGAAAGAGCACAUCUCUCACAUUGUACUGUAAUGUUUGCACUGUUGUGUCAGAUAAAUUUGCAAGAGUCUGGGAGAAUUUUUAGUAAAAUCGUGUACAGUACAUACAGAUUGUGGGUGUCUGUUUUUUCUCCUUUCUUACCUUCAUAAACUGUUGAGACAAACCUGGUCUGAGGUUCACUGUCCUAUGUAAAUAUUAAAUGCAAAGUUGACUGUUUUUUUCUCAUAAAAUUUCAUGAAUCCUCCAGGACUCUUCAGACCUGUCAGAAAACUUGUUAAAAAUUCCCUUACAGCUGAUGACUUCAGCACUAUUAUCAGUCAAUCAGUUUUUCAGUGUUCCCAUUUUUGAAUUCUAACUUUAAAUACAAUUCAUAAUACAUUUCCUUUUAUUUGUUAUGCUUACUGUUGCCAGGUGAUUACUAAAUAUAUACUUCAUUAUGUUCUUCUCUUACUGUUUUGCUGGUUGAUUUGACAAAAAGGUCAGAAACUCCCAUCCAGGAAGUGUCACCCUCUCAGCGCCAUUAUGUACUCUUUUAAGUGGCCUCCUUUUUCUCCACGCUCACACUGCUCAACCUUUCCAAUAUUUCACAAGCGCUCCCAUUGCGAAAAAAUGUCUCUUGCUCCGCACUUGGUGGCUGAUCACAUCUCCAACCCAAAUGGAAAUAAAAGUUACUCUGUUCCCUCUUUUCAGCUUUCCAGCUGAUGGUUUUGACCCAAAGUGCCCACUGUCAUGCCCCGUGUUGUUGUGAGUAUUAGCUCAUUGGUUUGUAUCCUUUGCCUCUUCAUGCAUGAUGCCCAUAAAAUCCUGAAGGAUUCGUCUCCGCUUAUGAUUGACACUUAAGACAAAAGCACAGGAAUGCCUGGGUCUGCAGUUGCUUUGGUGAUGGUUUCUAGUGGGACGUGAGAGGCCGGGGCCCUUCUGCGCUCCCAAAAACCGCCCUGGGACUCACACAGCUCAGUGAGUGACAGAGAUUGUACACUCUUGUCACUCAUACAAAAGUCCGGUUCUUUAGCAUUCAGGAGGUGCUGCAACUCUGGCCUUUGGAUUCGUAUUUAUCACAGCGAUUUUUGUUUCUGCCUCCAGGGUCUAUCACGGAGCCAAUUUAACUCGCUUUUAAGCAGAGUUGUUAUAGGGGUUUAAGACUUCUGGAUGCUUUUAGAUUUGGCAGGGUCUCUUGUAAAAUGUUUUAAAUUUAGAUUAUGUCCUAUACUUGGGUCCAACAAAAAUAUACCAUCCCUGUUCCUGGCCCAAUAUAAACAGGAGCUUAGCAAUUCAUUUCUCUAAGAGCAAGGAACCUAUAUAUUCUAACAGCACUAAGAAAAAAAUAGUAGCACUAUUUAAGUAUGGUAUACUACAGCCAAAAUCCUACAAUCUUAUUAGUUAUUAAUCUUAUGAAUCUAACUAGAUGGAAAAUACCUUCUGCCUUUGUAGCAAAAUUCAUAUUAUGUGUCAACAUCUUGAUUUUUCUAAAUCUUUUGAUACCCCUAGUUCUUAUUUUGAUAAUGUUCUUCAUAUGUUGAGUCUUAAACAUUCUUAUAUAAACAUUCUCAUAAGAGGUUUUCCUUGGAAUCCAGCUUCUUACUCCUCCAUGUCCCACCUCCCCUACUCGUAAAUCAUUGCUGUGGUCUCAGUCCCUCACCCCUUUUCCUCCACUUUCUAGAACAGCCCACUCUUACCCAUUGGCUAAUAUCUGACCUUGGGGUACUUGUUCAUGCUUUAUAUUUUGGGAUCUUUGAUGCACUGGACAUUGAGAGAAGCUGGUUAUAAAGCAAGUUCAGAAGACAGUACCAUGGCGUCUCUGGGGCUUCUCUUGCUCGUUGCAGCAGUGGUUCACCUCUGCACUGCAGAACCACAGCCACUAAAGGUGACCACCAUUAAG